UGCUGUCAGUGAUGAUUAUAAUACAUUGGGAAUCUCUCUGAAAAAGAAUGAAAGACUGUGUUUGUCUGAUGCAGUA
ensembl:snoRNA SNORD79 Small nucleolar RNA SNORD79